rnacentral:rRNA from 13 species
UUCGGUGGUUUUGGCGAGGGGGAAACACCCGGUCCCAUUCCGAACCCGGAAGUUAAGCCUCUCAGCGCCGAUGGUACUGCAUGGGAGACUGUGUGGGAGAGUAGGACACCGCCGGAC